UACGUAGGGGGCAAGCGUUAUCCGGAUUUACUGGGUGUAAAGGGAGCGUAGACGGUUGUGCAAGUCAGAUGUGAAAGCCCAAGGCUCAACCUUGGGACUGCAUUUGAAACUGUGCAACUAGAGUGUCGGAGAGGUAAGUGGAAUUCCUAGUGUAGCGGUGAAAUGCGUAGAUAUUAGGAGGAACACCAGUGGCGAAGGCGACUUACUGGACGAUAACUGACGUUGAGGCUCGAAAGCGUGGGGAGCAAACAGG
rnacentral:rRNA from 1 species